rnacentral:rRNA from 1 species
ACUCCUACGGGAGGCAGCAGUGGGGAAUAUUGGACAAUGGGCGCAAGCCUGAUGCAGCGACGCCGCGUGAAUGAUGAAGGCCUUAGGGUUGUAAAGUUCUUUUAUUGAUGACGAUAAUGACGGUAGUCAAUGAAUAAGCACCGGCUAACUUCGUGCCAGCAGCCGCGGUAAUAC